GGCGCGCCCCGCGGGUGGGCUGCUGAGGCGGCGGCGGCCCCAGUGCGCGGGGCGCCGCCCAUGUGUGCCUGUUGUCCCGGAGGUGGGGGCGGCUUGGUGGCCGCGGUGGACCGAGAGGGCCAGCGCGAAAGCUCACUACCCAUAUAAUGGAUUUUAUAGUUCAGAUUGUUUUAUUCUGGAUUUCAUGGUAACAAAACAGGAAGUAUACUUAAUUUCUCAUUUCUACAAGUAGUCAUGACUACUGAGAAAACAAUUUUUUUAAGCUACAGCAGAAUUCAUCUUGGUACCUUUUAUGGAAAUCCUGAUUUUGUUUUUAAUUUUGAUAACCUUUUGCUAAAGGUAUGAAGAAGCAACUUAUCUUGUUAGGCAAAUACACAUUUAUAAGAAUGUCUAGAAGAGGAUCAAUCCUUCACACCCGGACCCACUGGCUACUGUUAGGACUGGCUUUGCUCUGUAGUUUGGUAUUAUUUAUGUACCUUCUGGAGUGUGCCCCUCAGACUGAUGGAAAUGCAUCUCUUCCUGGUGUUGUCGGAGAAAAUUAUGGUAAAGAGUACUAUCAAGCCCUCCUACAGGAGCAAGAAGAACAUUAUCAAACCAGGGCAACCAGUCUGAAACGCCAAAUCGCCCAACUAAAACAAGAAUUACAAGAAAUGAGUGAGAAGAUGAAAUCAUUACAAGAGAGAAAGAAUAUAGGGGCUAAUGGCAUAGGCUAUCAAGGCAGCAAAGAACAAGCACCUAGCGAUCUUUUAGAAUUUCUUCAUUCCCAGAUUGACAAAGCCGAAGUUAGCACAGGAGCCAAACUACCCAGUGAGUAUGGGGUGAUUCCUUUUGAAAGUUUUACUUUAAUGAAAGUAUUUCAGUUGGAAAUGGGUCUCACUCGACAUCCUGAAGAAAAGCCGGUUAGAAAAGACAAACGAGAUGAAUUGACAGACGUUAUUGAAGCUGGCUUGGAGGUCAUUAAUAAUCCUGAUGAAGAUGAUGAACAGGAAGAUGAGGAGGGUCCCCUGGGAGAGAAACUUAUAUUUAAUGAAAAUGACUUCAUAGAAGGUUAUUAUCGCACUGAGAGAGAUAAGGGAACACAGUAUGAACUCUUUUUUAAGAAAGCAGACCUUAUGGAAUAUAGACAUGUGACCCUCUUCCGCCCUUUUGGACCUCUCAUGAAAGUGAAGAGUGAGAUGAUUGACAUUACUAGAUCAAUUAUUAAUAUCAUUGUGCCACUUGCUGAAAGAACUGAAGCAUUUGCACAGUUUAUGCAGAACUUCAGGGAUGUUUGUAUUCAUCAGGACAAGAGGAUUCAUCUCACAGUGGUGUAUUUUGGUAAAGAAGGUCUCUCUAAAGUCAAGUCUAUCCUAGAAUCUGUUGCAAGUGAGUCUAAUUUUCACAAUUACACCUUGGUUUCAUUGAAUGAAGAAUUUAAUCGUGGACGAGGACUCAAUGUGGGUGCCAGAGCUUGGGACAAGGGAGAGGUCUUGAUGUUUUUCUGUGAUGUUGACAUAUUUUUCUCAGCCGAAUUCCUUAACAGCUGCCGAUUAAAUGCUGAGCCAGGUAAAAAAGUGUUUUACCCUGUGGUGUUCAGUCUUUACAAUCCUGCCAUCGUUUAUGCCAACCAGGAUGCACCACCACCUGUGGAGCAGCAACUGGUUCACAAAAAGGAUUCUGGUUUUUGGAGAGAUUUUGGCUUUGGAAUGACUUGUCAAUAUCGAUCAGAUUUUCUGACCAUUGCCUGGGCUACUGGCACCACGUAUGGCAUACCACCUGGCACACACAAGAGUGGGGAGCAACAUGUUCUUUUAUUGAUGCAAGUACGUCCAGUCACACCAAAACUGACAUCCUGUGCUAUGGUACAGCUUUAUACUCAGAGAUCAGCUCCAAAUACCAAAACAUCAAAUUGAAGGAAAUAGAUGUCCUUAACGAAGAGGUUGAAUACUGGGAUGACAAUCUUCUCACGGCUGCUAUUGGCCAUCUGGGACCGCUGUGUGGCCCCCUGCAGGGCAGUGCGGUAGUUACAGAAGUUGCUGGAUGGAUCCAUGUGGUGCUGUGGGCAUAGCAAGGACCAGGCAAUGCUAGUUCUACUGGAUGCAGCAAUGGCCAAGGACAGCUUGAGAACCCACCAGCAGGCCAGCUCCAUACAUGUCUGAAUCAAAGGAAAGAUCCCACCCCUGCUGCCACACAGGACAAAGGUGGGGCACUGGGCUGUGCCAGUAACUUGGGUACCUACCUCCAAGACGUCAAACUUGGCUGUCUUGACUUUGGACCAUGUUUUCUUCAGCCGAGCCACUGGACUAAGGUUCAUGCCAGCUGCAGGGACAGUGGGCAGGGGUCAGAGCAUGAGAAGGCAGAGGGUGUGGGCAGCCCCCAACCUGUGCCAGCACUCACAAAUGAUGGCCAUCAUGGAGUUGAAGUUUCCAAUGUUGAAGCACUCUCGGGCCACAUCAAUGAAAAACUCCARCAUGCGGGUCCGAUGCUUCUUCUUAACCACCUGGAAGGCAACAGGAUGACCUCAGCGUGGAGCCACCAACAGGCCACAGGAGCUGGGGCCACUGGGCAGAGGGUCGAGAAGUUCCUUGGGACUUAACUUCCAGGUCUGGGAGAUUCAAGGCUCUAUCUGUGAGACUCAGACACAUGUCCAACACCUGAUGGAUCUCCUCAGCCAUAAAAGGGAUGGGCUGUUUGCUUGCCAAGGCUGGCAGAAUGGUGCUGGGCACAAGGGGCACACUCCCACAUAGGGGAUCCCUAUUGUCAUUUAAGUAAUCAAUGGAUAUGGAGGCUUCAGGGUGGGAGCACUACCAAGGCCCUGGCAAUGGACACUUCAUGUGCUUAUUUUGAAAGUUCCAUCAUCUAAAGGGGAAAUACAGGGGAAUGAUAU